UGAUGGAGCUGUUCCCUCGUACUCUGCCUGCACGGAGGAACCAGGCAUUCAUCUUCCAGCUGGAGGAAUGCCAGGGCACAGAACCUCCCUCAAAGGCGCAAGGAGCAUCCCAGGAACCCGGUGCUAUCCCAGACCACCAAUUCUCUCUCAGUCAAGGAUUCUCUGAGCUGCGAGGAGCUCCGUGUGCAGGAACAACUUCACAAGAUCAAAAUCCAGUUAAAGGAUGGGAGGGAGAAAAUAAAACCUCAGCCAGACACAGAAUUUAACUCGGUGCUGUCUUCAUGCCCAUUCUCCUCACACAUAUCCAUAGAUCUUCAUUUACUGCCACUAAAAGCCUCUUAAGG
rnacentral:lncRNA from 12 species